AAAGUCGUAACAAGGUCUCCGUUGGUGAACCAGCGGAGGGAUCAUUACCGAGUUUUAUACGCUCAAACCCUAGCGAACUCGAAACUGUUGCUUCGGCGGGUUGCCUGGCUGGCGCCCGCCGGAGGUUUAGGCUCUUUGGCUCUUGGACUCUAGUCAUCUGAAUUUACGCUUCUAAACUAGUCAAAACUUUCAACAACGGAUCUCUUGGUUCUG
rnacentral:misc_RNA from 1 species